rnacentral:rRNA from 1 species
CAAUAGCGUAUAUUUAAGUUGUUGCAGUUAAAAAGCUCGUAGUUGGAUUUCGGUUGAGAGCGGCCGGUCCGCCGUUUGGUGUGCACUGGCUGGUUUCAACUUCCUGUAGAGGACGCGCUUUGGGCUUAACGGUCUGAACGUGGAGUCUACGUGGUUACUUUGAAAAAAUUAGAGUGUUCAAAGCGGGCUUACGCUUGAAUACAUUAGCAUGGAAUAAUAAGAUAGGACUUUGGUGCUAUUUUGUUGGUUGAGCCUAAAGUAAUGAUUAAUAGGGAUAGUUGGGGGCACCUGUAUUGCGUUGUCAGAGGUGAAAUUCUUGGAUUUACGCAAGACAAACAGCUGCGAAAGCGUCUGCCAAGGAUGUUUUCAUUAA